AUGGGUGGCAUGAGAGGAAGGAUGGGAAUCAGCUACUUGCAUUCGCACGGAGGAGGCAACGUCGACGUGAUGGCACAUCAGAGGAGGCUGGGCUCGUUGUGGAGCUUCUUGAGGCAGCAGGACGUCGGCGAGAGCAUCGCUGCCGGCAACGGCUUGAGUGACCUCUUGAGGAUCUUCUCCAUGAGCACCUGGGACGACACCAACUCCAACAUCAUGUUCUCAGCGCCCGGCAGCAAGAAGGCCGAGGUGCUCGGCGACAGCGAUGUCGGCAUGGUCACUAGCUUCAGCAACAUUGACUCCCAGAUUCAGUUAGCCCUCUCGAGCUGGACAUGCCCAGCAUGGACGACUACCUGCAGCUGCAGCAGGACUCCGCCGACUGCAGAGUCCACGCCAAGCGUGGCUGCACCACUGAUCCGCAGAGCAUCGCUUGGGAGGGAAAGAAGAACAAGGAUCAACCAGAGGCUAAGGAGGCUGCAAGACCUCAUUCCCUACAUGGACAAGGUCACAAGGCCAAUACACAUUCAGGAAAUAUGUGACCAACUUUCCCAAGGUCUCGCAUCAUCUACUCAGGAUAUUCUGUGCCCUAAGCCCUACAGAAUAAUGCCCAGUCUAAUUUCAACAGUGGGACAACCUCAAACUUCUCUCUUCAAUAUUGAAGAAGCGGCUUACUCAGAUCCAUGGGCAUGCACUUAG
rnacentral:rRNA from 1 species